rnacentral:lncRNA from 1 species
CAAGUACUUUCCCUCUGCCUUAAGCUCAGUGAAAAUGUGUUUCACUAAGUUUCAGGACAUCCCUUCCUAUGUAGUAUAUGAUGUUACUAUUCAGAGUAUAGCUAGGGAAACAUCAUUCUGUUACUAUUCAGAGUAUAACUAGGGAAACAUCAUUCUGUUACUAUUCAGAGUAUAGCUAGGGAAACAUCAUUCUGUUACUAUUCAGAGUAUAGCUAGGGAAACAUCAUACCAUAUAACUAGGGAAACAUCAUUCUGUUACUAUUCAGAGUAUAGCUAGGGAAACAUCAUACCAUAUAACUAGGGAAACAUCAUUCUGUUACUAUUCAGAGUAUAGCUAGGGAAACAGGAUUCUGUUACUAUUCAGAGUAUAGCUAUGGAAUACUGUUUCCUUUUCAUUUUUGGGUUCUUUUGUCAAUCUGAGUCAGAAAAAAGACAAUGUAGGUUAAAUGCUGAAAGAUGUUUAGAGAUUGAGGUCAGUGGAGCAGCGAAUAAAUGGUGGCUCUUGGGGACAUGAUCCUUUAAAAUGGGACAGAAUUAUGAUGGGUGGUCAAAUGGCUUUUCCUUGUUCUCCAACGUGUACUUUCACUUCAAAACGCAAACACUCUAUUCUUUCAAAAGCAUCCCAAAGCCCUUCGCUCACUCCUCUGUAGCUCUCGCAGCGCACUAGACCCACCUGCUCCAAGACCAAGAUGUAGUGAUCUGAGAUUAAUAUCAUCGAUAAAUGAUGGAUGGAUGGAUAGUUAAAUACAUGUUGGGUUGAGAUGCACAGUUGGAAGAUGGUUGCCAAGGGAAUCAGGGGGAAGAGAUGGUGGAAGAACACAAUAAAUGAGAAAACCCUUUGUACAGAAGAACAAUGUCAGUAAAUAUCAUUGAGACUGGUAAACCCUUUGUACAGAAGAACAAUGUCAUUAAAUAUCAUUGAGACUGGUAAACCCUUUGUACAGAAGAACAAUGUCAGUAAAUAUCAUUGAGACUGGUAAACCCUUUGUACAGAAGAACAAUGUCAUUAAAUAUCAUUGAGACUGGUAAACCCUUUGUACAGAAGAACAAUGUCAUUAAAUAUCAUUGAGACUGGUAAACCCUUUGUACAGAAGAACAAUGUCAUUAAAUAUCAUUGAGACUGGUAAACCCUUUGUACAGAUGAACAUCAUUGAGAGCAAAUGUGGACCCACUACAUACUUGUGUUAAUACAAUUUUAAACAACAUAUAUUUCUGAAUUGUGUUUGUAUUACUUUAUAGUGGCUAAGAUGUGUCCUACUGUACGUAUCUAGAAUCUAAAUACAUAUAAUUCUGAAGGUUCAUUACAUCUAAAUAAGUAACCACAGGAACAGGAAGUGAUGCAAAUCAGUCCAAUGAGUGUGUAGAGAGACAGCUCAGUGUGUUGACCAUUCCCAGGCCUACUAACAGGCUGUUGGUAAGUCUAGGCAAAUUAAAACAACUCUACUUCAAUGUAUACAAUUAAAAUACGACUGACACGCCUAGUCCUGCUACUACUGGUAAUAAUAAAAAUAAUAAAAUAAUAAUAAUAAUAAUAAUAAUGAUAAUGAUAAUGAUAAUAGUAUACAAUAAUGAUAAUGAUAAUGACAAUGGCGAUAACGAUAACGAUAACGAUGAUAAUAUAUAAUAAUGAUAAUGUUAAUAAUAUAUAAUGAUAAUGGUAACGAUAACGAUAAUGAAAACGAUAAUAAUAUAUAACAAUAAUGAUAAUGAUAAUAAUACAAAUGAUAAUAAUAAGAACGAUAAUGAUAACGAUGAUAAUAAUCAUAUUAAUGACAAUAAUAAUAAUAACAAUAAUGAUAAUGGCAAUAAUAAUAAUAGUAAUAAUGAUAAUGACAAUGAUAAUAAUGAUAACAAUAAGGAUAAUAACAAUAACAACAAUAAUAAUAAUGAUAACGAUAAACAAUAAAUUAUUCAUUCCAUGCGGUUGUUUGCAGAUGAGGGUUAGAUAGGUAAAUCAAGUCCUCCCAGCAGUAUCAAUAACACAGUCUCCUGGUAGUGUUGAGGAGGGCCGAUGAAGGUAGAGAGAUGUUUUUUUUUAUAAUUGCUUUGUUCCCUGCGGCAGCCGCAGAUACCCUGAGGGUCAAGAGCUGGAGUGGUGAGGCUGCUGGGG